UACAUGCGAGUCGAGCGCGGGAAGCGAGCGGAUCCCUUCGGGGUGAAGCUCGUGGAACGAGCGGCGGACGGGUGAGUAACACGUGGGCAACCUGCCUGUAAGAUCGGAAUAACCCCGGGAAACCGGGGCUAAUGCCGGGUAAUACUUUUCUUCGCAUGAAGAUGAGUUGAAAGAUGGCUUCUCGCUAUCACUUACAGAUGGGCCCGCGGCGCAUUAGCUAGUUGGUGAGGUAACGGCUCACCAAGGCAACGAUGCGUAGCCGACCUGAGAGGGUGAUCGGCCACACUGGGACUGAGACACGGCCCAGACUCCUACGGGAGGCAGCAGUAGGGAAUCUUCCGCAAUGGACGAAAGUCUGACGGAGCAACGCCGCGUGAACGAUGAAGGUCUUCGGAUCGUAAAGUUCUGUUGUCAGGGAAGAACAAGUACCGUGCGAAUAGAGCGGUACCUUGACGGUACCUGACGAGGAAGCCCCGGCUAACUACGUGCCAGCAGCCGCGGUAAUACGUAGGGGGCAAGCGUUGUCCGGAAUUAUUGGGCGUAAAGCGCGCGCAGGCGGUUCCUUAAGUCUGAUGUGAAAGCCCACGGCUCAACCGUGGAGGGUCAUUGGAAACUGGGGAACUUGAGGACAGAAGAGGAGAGUGGAAUUCCACGUGUAGCGGUGAAAUGCGUAGAUAUGUGGAGGAACACCAGUGGCGAAGGCGACUCUCUGGUCUGUUUCUGACGCUGAGGUGCGAAAGCGUGGGUAGCAAACAGGAUUAGAUACCCUGGUAGUCCACGCCGUAAACGAUGAGUGCUAGGUGUUAGGGGGCUUCCACCCCUUAGUGCUGAAGUUAACGCAUUAAGCACUCCGCCUGGGGAGUACGGCCGCAAGGCUGAA
rnacentral:rRNA from 1 species